AUGUUGCUGCACCAAAACUUGCUUCAGUUCCCACGCAUCCAUGAUUGUUACUCCUACUAUAGGAGUAGUAGAGUAUAUUUUACAUACAUAAACGACGGUAGCUUGCCCAUCUCGGAAGGCAGGCGGCGGCAGCGUCACCGGCGUUGCCCGACCAGCGACAUCGUUGUAAGUGAGCCUCCUUUUGAGCUCCCUGGCGCCACCAGGUUCCGUUGUCGCUGCUGCGAACCCUGUGGCCAGCGCCAUCACGUCAGCAUUCAGCAAUGUUCUCUUUGGAUGUGCAUUGGAUCGAUGUCGUCUCAUCGACUCAUUACCUUUUCUUGCUCUCUUUACCGGCGAUGGCGUGCUUCUGAUUCCUCCCUUGCCGAUCUGGUGUUUCUUCUCGCCGGCCUUCUUCCUCAGCGGCGUGAUGCUGGGCCGCUGCUGUGCAGGUGUAACAGCAGCAUCGCCGCCUUGUUGAUCUCUCGCUGCCUUGCUGGGCCCGGCGUCGAGUUGCUUGUGACGCCAGGCCAGGAGGUCCGACUCGGAGUACAUCCGGUUCUUCUUGAGGGACAGGAAAACCUGCUUGGCUUGAUCCAGCAACGCCACGGCCUGCACCAAAAACAAACAUUCAUGCAUUCAUUCUGGCAUGCAUGCAACGUAUAG
rnacentral:rRNA from 1 species